rnacentral:rRNA from 1 species
AAUGAACGUUGGCGGCGUGGAUUAGGCAUGCAAGUCGCGCGAGAAGUCAUUUAGCUUGCUAAAAGACGGACAGCGGCGGAAGGGAGAGUAACGCGUGGUUAUGUACCCUCGAGACCGGGAUAGUGUCGGGAAACUGGCAGUAAUACCGGAUAACAUCUUCGGAUCAAAUGGUGUGAUUCCGCUCGAGGAUCGGACCGCGUACUAUUAGCUAGUUGGAGGGGUAAUGGCCCACCAAGGCUUAGAUGGUUACCGGGUGUGAGAGCAUGGCCCGGCUCACUGGGACUGAGACCCUGCCCAGACAUCUACGGAUGGCUGCAGUCGAGAAUCUUCGGCAAUGGACGAAAGUCUGACCGAGCGACGCCGCGUGCGGGAUGAAGGCCUUCGGGUUGUAAACCGCUGUCAGUUAGGAGGAAAUCCAUGAGGGUUCUCUCUCAUGGUUGACCGAUUUUCAGAGGAAGGACGGGCUAAGUUCGUGCCAGCCGCCGCCGUAAAAC